GGAUCAUUAAAGAGUUCUAUAACUCCCAAACCCAUGUGAACAUACCUAACGUUGCCUCGGCAGGUCGCACCUACCUUGUAGCACCCUACCCUGUAGGGCCUACCCGGGAGGUGCGGGUAAGCCUGCCGGCGGCCCACCAAACUCUGUUUGAUAUUGAAUUCUGAACCUAUAACUAAAUAAGUUAAAACUUUCAACAACGGAUCUCUUGGUUCUGGCAUCGAUGAAGAACGCAGCGAAAUGCGAUAAGUAAUGUGAAUUGCAGAAUUCAGUGAAUCAUCGAAUCUUUGAACGCAUAUUGCGCCCAUUAGUAUUCUAGUGGGCAGGACCGUUCGAGCGUCAUUUCAACCCUUAAGCCUUCGUUGCUUAGUGUUGGGAGCCUACGGCAACGUAGCUCCUCAAAGUUAGUGGCGGAGUUGGUUCACACUCUAGACGUAGUAAUUUUUUAUCUCGCCUAUUAGUUGGACUAAUCCCCUGCCGUAAAACCCCCAAUUUAUCAAGGUUGACCUCGAAUCGGUUCAGACAAACUCGCUAAAUUGAAGCAUCUUAGUCAGCGAAGGAAAAGAAACCAACAGGGAUUGCCCUAGUAACGGCGAGUGAAGCGGCAACAGCUCAAAUUUGAAAUCUGGCCCUCGGGUCCGAGUUGUAAUUUGUAGAGGAUGCUUUUGGCGCGGUGCCUUCCGAGUUCCCUGGAACGGGACGCCUUAGAGGGUGAGAGCCCCGUACGGUUGGACACCAAGCCUCUGUAAAGCUCCUUCGACGAGUCGAGUAGCUUGGGAAUGCUGCUCUAAAUGGGAGGUAAAUUUCUUCUAAAGCUAAAUAUUGGCCAGA
rnacentral:rRNA from 1 species